rnacentral:rRNA from 1 species
UACGUAGGGGGCAAGCGUUGUCCGGAAUUAUUGGGCGUAAAGAGCGCGUAGGCGGUCCGGUAAGUCGGCUGUGAAAGUCAAGGGCUCAACCCUUGAAAGCCGGCCGAUACUGUCGGACUAGAGUCCGGAAGAGGCGAGUGGAAUUCCCCGGUGUAGCGGUGAAAUGCGCAGAUAUCAGGAAGAACACCCGUGGCGAAGGCGGCUCUCUGGGACGGUACUG